rnacentral:lncRNA from 1 species
GGAAAACCUUGAAAGCGACCAGGAUUUCGGUCUGAGGAGUAGCAGGGCCCUGUUCAAGCUUCUUAAGUUUGGCUUUACAUGAUGGCCGUCAGGGGUUUCUGGGUCAAGGUUUGUGUACUGUUGGAGGGCCUUGGUUAGUCUAUCCAGGAAUUCUGAAGGUGUUUCUUCCUUCUUCUGAAUGACCUCCUGCACUUUUUGAAAAUUAACGACCUUGCGGGCGGCCUUUUUCAGGCCUGCCAAGAGGCAGGAUGCAAAAAGGUCAUGAGACUGUAAGCCUCCAGGGGUGUUAUAAUCCCAUAGAGGAUCCUGCUCCAGAACAGCAUGUGGGCCCAUAGGGUGGUUGAGAUUGGUUCUAUGAUUCUCAUCAGCAUGGGCCUGGUCUAGUUCCCAGACCUGUUGCCUUUCCUCAGGGAGAAGUGUAUUGGCCAGGAGCAUGUAAAUGUCGUGAUGAGUGAGGCUAUAUGCUUCAGGACCCAUUGAUACUCCCGAAUGUAAGUGGUGGGGUCAGUGGUGAAUGAGCCUAACUUCCUCUCUAGCUGAGUAAGAUCCGACAUGGAGAAGGGUACAUGUACUCUGAUAACACCCUCGGGACCAGCAACCUCACGAAGGGGUACAAUCAUCAUGGGAGCGGGAAGGGGUCCCUUAGACCUGGUAACAGGAGGACUGAAAGAGGCAGUCGGCG